rnacentral:rRNA from 1 species
GAUGAACGCUGGCGGCGUGCCUAAUACAUGCAAGUCGAGCGAACGGACGAGAAGCUUGCUUCUCUGAUGUUAGCGGCGGACGGGUGAGUAACACGUGGAUAACCUACCUAUAAGACUGGGAUAACUUCGGGAAACCGGAGCUAAUACCGGAUAAUAUUUUGAACCGCAUGGUUCAAAAGUGAAAGACGGUCUUGCUGUCACUUAUAGAUGGAUCCGCGCUGCAUUAGCUAGUUGGUAAGGUAACGGCUUACCAAGGCAACGAUGCAUAGCCGACCUGAGAGGGUGAUCGGCCACACUGGAACUGAGACACGGUCCAGACUCCUACUGGAGGCAGCAGUAGGGAAUCUUCCGCAAUGGGCGAAAGCCUGACGGAGCAACGCCGCGUGAGUGAUGAAGGUCUUCGGAUCGUAAAACUCCGUUAUUAGGGAAGAACAUAUGUGUAAGUAACUGUGCACAUCUUGACGGUACCUAAUCAGAAAGCCACGGCUAACUACGUG